GUUUCCUUUGCAUUCAUCUCUGUGGUUACAGAAGCCACACGAGAUACACGUACAGAAGCCAGACUCGGUGACCCCUACGGGUCUCUUCCAACUCGGGAUAUUCUGAUUCUAUGCACCUCACUUUUCCGGGCACAGUUAACACACGGGGUCACCUCAGUAACGCUUGCUCACCCGAGGUUAUUUUUAAAGAGCGACGCUUGCGCACCCACAACACCCCCGCUCGUCACCUGAGCGCGCCUCCCGUCAGCCAGCCCCGACCGGCCUCCCUCAGCCCCGCACACAGCACAGCAUUAUUCAAGCGAGAAGAGCUGGGCACCCUCAGACGCCCGCCCAGCGCCCUCAGAUCCCGGCAGCCCCUUCCCGCCCCCUCACGAGGAAGCCGCACCCCCGCCCCGACCCCGCGGGAGCCGAGAGCUGCGCGCUCACAAGCGCGGCCCAAAGUCAGGCGCCUGUGCGAGGGUCAGGUAACGGCCUCCCGGCGACGGCCGCCCGCCCGUUACCUCCAUGGCGAAGCCGGCUCGCUGCUAGCGCGGAUGGACCGCGGCGCCCCUGACAGCACCGCUACCCCGCGCCCCCACUUCCGCCUUCGUCAUCCCCGCACGCCGCUAACGCAGCGCGCCCCCCUGCGGCUGACAGCGACCGUCACCGGAGCCCCGCCCCUGGAGCAGCUGAAUUCCAGUUGGGUGAAGAUUUACCUGAGGAAAAGAAACCAGUAUGACACAAGCCUCUGUCACCCUCACCCUGCAGCAGAUGCCUUCAGCAUUUUCUCCUUCUAAUAAACAGAGAGAUUUCGAAAGAGGAGCAAAUAGGUCACCUGUGCAACCUCAUAAUAUGUUAUCUAGCUACUGAGUUAAGCAUAUUUUCCAUUUACUGAUAGCUCUUAUGACCCUGAAUGAGGAUUAGAUUGACAAAGAGCUGACUUGUGUCAUUUCUUGGAGUGACCAAAAAGAAUAGAAAUAUGUCAGAGAGCAGGCAACACCUUUUCCUUGUACUGGUGACAGUGAAAUAACAAGCUAAGUUAAUCAUGAACAAAAGCUACAGAAGUCACAGAAACCUUCCCAGGCUCAUAUUUAAUUUU
rnacentral:lncRNA from 1 species